rnacentral:rRNA from 1 species
GACAGAGGGUGCGAACGUUGCUCGGAAUCACUGGGCGUAAAGCGCGCGUAGGCGGACCGGAAAGUCGGUUGUGAAAUCCCUGGGCUCAACCCAGGAACUGCAUCCGAAAACUCCCGGUCUCGAGUGACGGAGAGGAUAGUGGAAUUCCCGGUGUAGAGGUGAAAUUCGUAGAUAUCGGGAGGAACACCAGUGGCGAAGGCGGCUAUCUGGACGUCCACUGACGCUGAGGCGCGAAAGCGUGGGGAGCAAACAGG